AUGAGUGACAUCAGUAGUGACAAGCAGGAGCCGCUGGGCAGCGACUCUGAAGGUGUUAACUGUCUGGCCUAUGAUGAAGCAAUUAUGGCUCAGCAGGACUGAAUUCAGCAAGAGAUUGCUGUGCAGAAUCCUCUGGUGUCCGAGUGUCUGGAACUCUCAGUCCUGUACAAGGAGUACGCUGAGGAUGACAACAUCUAUCAAUGGAAGAUCAAAGACCUCCACAAAAGUACUCCAACAUCCGAAAGACCAGGCCCGAUGGCAACUGCUUCUACUGAGCGUUUGGCUUCUCCCACUUGGAGGCACUCCUGGAUGACAGCAAGGAGCUGCAGCGUUUCAAGGCUGUGUCUGCCAAGAGUAAAGAGGACUUGGUGUCCCAGGGCUUCACAGAGUUCACAAUCGAGGACUUCUACAACACAUUCAUGGACCUUAUCGAGCAGGUGGAGAAGCAGACCUCGGUAGCUGAUCUGUUGGCCUCCUUCAAUGACCAGAGCACCUCAGACUACCUUGUGAUCUACCUGCGGCUGCUCACCUUGGGCUACCUGCAGUGGGAAAGCAAGUUCUUUGAGCACUUUAUUGAGGGUGGCCGGACUGUUAAGGAGUUCUGCCAGCAGGAGGUAGAACCCAUGUGCAAGGAGAGUGACCAUAUCCACAUCAUUGCCCUGGCCCAGGCCCUCAGCGUGUCCAUUCAAGUAGAGUACAUGGACCGUGGUGAGGGUGGCACCAUCAAUCCACACAUCUUCCCUGAGGGCUCCGUGUCCAAGGUCUACCUUCUCUACCGACCUGGACACUACAAUAUCCUCUACAAAUAUGGCCGGCUGGCCUGCUGCGCCAUGCCUGCCUCCCUCUACCAGUUCUACAAUGUCGAUUAUGAACUAAGAAGACUAAAACAUAGAGAAGGAAGAGUUGAAAGAGCGACAAAUUAG